ensembl:lncRNA
AGGGACAACCACUACAACUUCUGCAACCACAAUGACACCUGAACUCACAACUCAUACAAGCCAAGUGAGGAGCAAGCAGAUUGUGAGAGUGGAGUUCCAAGUUAACUCCAGCCUGCCCCUUAGCAAUGCUGAAUUUCAGGAGAGGCUCAUGGAUCAGAUCAGAAGGAAACUGCAGGAGAAGGGGCUGCCGGCGGACGCUAAACUGACCUGGAAAAAGCAGCCUGAUGAACAGAUUUUCCACAAGAAGAAUGAGAAGAAGGAGAAAAAAGAGAGGAGGAGGAAGAGGAAGAGCAAAGAUGAGUUUUGAAGCUCAAUAAAUGUCAGAGAGCAGGAGAGUGAGAAAGAUCAGAGAGGAGAGGAGAAACUGUAUAUAUUGAAAUGCGACUUAAUUCUUGUGUGGC